GUGCUCUUGUCUUCAGUGGCAUUUACAGAUCCUCUCUGACUCUACCUCUUCCACGUGAAGAUUUUCAGCAGCUGACACACUCUACUUACAAGCACCUCGCGACCUGACCUCCUUUGAGGUCAAUAAGCAUUUCUGUGGUACAGAGCAGAAGCAGAACUGCCCCCCUGCAGUUUGUGAUGAGGUUCAAGUCUCUUACAUUAACACCUGAUUCCAGCUGCAGAGGAUUUACAAAUGCAAAAUCUCCCAGAAUACCUACAUCCAUCACCAGCCUGACUGAAAAACGGAGAUGGAUUUCAGCUGUGUCCCACUUUGCACUACACGAGCUGACUUUGUGCAAUAAUGAAGGAGACCGGAUCAAAGGCAAAAGCCCUGCUGGAAAUCUUGUGGGCUGUCACCCUGCCUUUGGUGGCAGGUUAGUGAAAGGCUUUACUUCAACUGGUGUGAUACUGCUUUGGGGCUGUUCCAGGAGUCUGCAUAUUUCAAAGCUAUUUUGGUGCUACAUUCCCUACUCCACACCGGUCCCUGCCCGACACAGCUUGCUGCGCUCUCUUCCAGCAUCAACCUCCCACAGUGUGUGAGCAGGCCUGCCUCUGUCACUGUUUCACGUGCGCAUUACCAUGAGCACACACUUGAGGGCCGCAGAUCUUAAGUUUAGCAGUUCUUGCCUUCAUUAGAUUUAGUCACUGGGAGAGGGAGGGGGAGUGCUUUCUGUCCCUCUUGUGUCAUUAAUUUUCAAACACAAGGCAGGGUGAUCAAUAAUCUAUUCUGCCGGCAGUUUUACUGAGUUUAUUCCUGUUUCGGGUAUUAGUUUUCCU
rnacentral:lncRNA from 1 species